GACAGAGGGUGCAAGCGUUGUUCGGAAUUACUGGGCGUAAAGCGAGUGUAGGCGGUCUGACAAGUCGGGUGUGAAAGCCCCGGGCUCAACCCGGGAAGUGCACUCGAAACUGCCAGGCUAGAGUAUCGGAGAGGUUGGUGGAAUUCUCGGUGUAGAGGUGAAAUUCGUAGAUAUCGAGAGGAACACCGGUGGCGAAGGCGGCCAACUGGACGAAUACUGACGCUGAGACUCGAAAGCGUGGGGAGCAAACAGG
rnacentral:rRNA from 1 species